rnacentral:rRNA from 1 species
UACGAAGGGUGCAAGCGUUGUUCGGAAUUACUGGGCGUAAAGGGCGCGUAGGCGGGUUUGUAAGUCGAUUGUGAAAUCCCUAGGCUCAACCUGGGAACUGCAGUCGAUACUGCAAAUCUUGAAUACCUGAGAGGAUGGCGGAAUUCCCGGUGUAGUAGUGAAAUACGUAGAUAUCGGGAAGAACACCUGAGGCGAAGGCGGCCUGCUGGGCUGUUGCUGACGCUGAGGCGCGACAGCGUGGGGAGCAAACGAGG